rnacentral:rRNA from 1 species
AUUGAACGCUGGCGGCAUGCUUUACACAUGCAAGUCGAACGGCAGCGCGGGCUUCGUCCUGGCGGCGAGUGACGAACGGGUGAGUAAUGCAUCGGAACGUGCCCAGUAGUUGGGGAUAGCCCGGCGAAAGCCGGAUUAAUACCGCAUACGACCUGAUGUUGAAAGCGGGGGACCGAAAGGCCUCGCGCUAUUGGAGCGGCCGAUGUCGGAUUAGCUAGUUGGUGGGGUAAAGGCUUACCAAGGCGACGAUCCGUAGCUGGUCUGAGAGGACGACCUGCCACACUGGGACUGAGACACGGCCCAGACUCCUACGGGAGGCAGCAGUGGGGAAUUUUGGACAAUGGGGGCAACCCUGAUCCAGCCAUGCCGCGUGCGGGAAGAAGGCCUUCGGGUUGUAAACCGCUUUUGUUCGGGAAGAAAUACUCUGGGCUAAUACCCCGGGGGGAUGACGGUACCGGAAGAAUAAGCACCGGCUAACUACGUG